CCUUCCUCUUUUUCUUUCCCCUCCUCUCCCUCCUCUUUUCCUUCCCCCCUCUUCCUCUCUUCCUCCCCUCCCUUUUCUUCCCCUUCCCGCCGGCUGCCCCACCUUCCCCGCCGUCCACGUGCCGCCGCCAACUCCUUCCUCCCCUCCCGUCGCUGCAGCGUCGCCUCCUUCUCCUCCCUCCUUCCGCGCGACGCCGACAAAGGGGAGAAGGGCUGCCAUCGCCGUUUCGGCCGUCUGCAGCCAUCUUUUCCUCAAAACGACGCCGGAAUCGGACUCCCCACCCCCGAAGACCCCGGCAACGGCUCUCCUCCGCCGUAAAAUCCUCGCCGGCAGCCUCAGGAAGUGUCGCCGGAGCAGCACCUUUCCGGCCACUUUCCAGCCGAAAUUCUUGUACUUCUGGACUCUCCGUAACUCGAUCUUCGCGUAGGCGCUUCCGGAUUCGAAUUCCGACAUCGUUGGCAGGACCGGCUUCCGGACCCUCGUGUUUUCCGGACGCUCAAAAUAUUUCAAUUUCGACUCGGUCCUAAACUCGUUUUAGGGGAGGUAAAUGUCCGCAAGUUAGGAUAAUCCAGCUUUCCUGCCAGCUCCACCCGAAGCGUAGGCAUGGACUGCGGAACACGUUAGAAUUAAUGAGGCUUUAGUAGAACAUGUCAUAUGAUGGGUUACAUCAGGACCGCGUGCGCACCAAUAAUGAUUAAAGACAGUUAGAGUUCUUUGCCGUUCUGCAUUUUAACAGUCCGACUUCUUCUCCUUCAGACUUUUUGUUUUGUAUAAUUGCCGAUCAAUGUCAAAGUUUGGGGUUCCAUUUCGGUCUAUGGCCGUGACUGGGGGAUUUUCUCAGAGAGCUCAGCUGGAAAAUCUAGAACAAGGUGUUGAUGUUCUAAUUGCAACACCUGGUUGUUUCAUGUUCCUAGUGAAAGAAGGAUUCUUGAAGUUAUCAAAUCUGAAAUGGUUGUAGAGCAAAGACCUGUUUUGAAGUUGAUUGCUUUCUGUAAUAAGAUCGAGACAUGCAGAAAAGUAGAGAACGUAUUAAAACGUUUUGAGUAGAAAAGGAACACGUGUUGAGUUCUUCCAUUCCAUUUUGCUAUGGCACAAGAAUCAUGGCUUACAAAUAUAAAGCAAUUCAUGAAUUCUCAUUCUGGAAAGUACUCGCUAUUUCUGGUUUCAAUGAUAGUUGUCCAAGUGAAAAGGAUUGAUAUUUUAGGUUCAGUGAAAGAAGUGGUAAUAAGCACAGAGAAGCAGCAACAGGGUGGACCUCCUCAAAUUGUCAGAUUAGACAAGCCGUUUAAAUUGGCAGAACAAUGGGUUAAUAACAUGAGUAAAGAUGUGUUGGAUGAGCCAAUAGAAGUCGAACUAGAAUGCCGUCCUUUUAGGUUAGGGCUUGGGCAAAAAGUUGCGCGUCAGCCGAGAGUUGGACAUCCACGUUAUCCCAUUGGAAAAAAGUUGCAUGCUAAAUUAGAAGCUGGAAAAAGAAAGGCUGCCAAAAGCAUCGGUGGUUGCUGACAAUGGCAACGAUCAUGAGGAGAGCGAUGAAGAGUUAGAACGCAGAGCUAAUGCAUUUGUCAAGAAGUCUGCAUGCAGUAUAUUAUUUGUAUUGCCGCAUUCAACAUGGAACGUCGAAAUAACGAGAAAGAGAAGGAGAGAGAUCGUUUUGUAAACAUAGUUGGACGGAUGUUCUCUUUCAGGGCCCACUGCCAAUUGAAAGAUUAUUAUUAUUCAUUACCCAACAAUAAAAAAACAUAAAUUUGUUAAUUAAAAAAAUUAUUUAGUAUUCUGAAAAAAAGAAAACAAAGGUAACUUCGCCUCGAUUAUGAAAGUAUCUAAAUAUCAGUAUUUAUUAUGAAUAAUCUAUAUUUCACCUCUAUAUUCUUAUUAUUUUUAAUUUAAGUCUUUAUAUUUCACCUUACUUUGUUCUGUAAUGACUUGGCCUCAUACAGUAUAGUGAGGUGGUCCCGAAUCUCCUUUGCUGUUUUCUUUUCUUCUAUGCUGGACAAGAUCCCAUUUGCAAAUGACAAAUGAAGGUUUGCAAUAGCAUUCCCAUCCAUCUUGUUCCACUUAUUAUCAUCUGUGAGUGUUGUCGGUCGUUCACUGAUAGCCGCAAGACAAUUGUUUUUUCUCAAGACAGCCUUUAUCUUUAAUUUUCACAGUGAGAAAUUUCUGCCAUUGAACUUUUCAAUCUCAAAUUUUGCCGCCAUUGCUUCUAUCACAAACGGUGCCUUUUAGCUUGUAAAAUGAAUCACAGUAAUGAACACAACUCACUAGGUAAGUUCCCAGGAAAGAUUGGAAGGUCACAAGCGGACUUCUUAAGUACCAAUCUCCUUAGAAAGAACCUUCCCUAGAUUGUAAGUGUUCUCACUACUCCGCACAAGCUCUUUUGCACCAAAAAAACCUCAAAACUCUUUUCUGAUAUGGAAGAUUAGACUAAGCUGCAACCACAGAGCAUAAUAGGAUUUUAAGGAAUUUCUUUCCAACCAAGCUCUGAUACCAUUGUAGAAAAAAAUGAACCUGAUAAAGCAAAAUCACAACUAAUAAUUCGAAAAAAUAAAGAUAAAGAAAAAUAAAAUACACAAUAGAACACACAGAUUUACGUGUUUAGGGCAUAAAACUAAAGUUUUUUUGUAAAAAAAUUUGAGUUAGGAACUCAUCCUUAAACAUUUUAAAUGAAUUUUCUUUUACUAUUUUUGUUUAAAUCGUAGGAAUCUAAAGCUUGAGAUGUGUUUUAUUGUUGUAACAAAGAUAAAAGGAAAAGAGUAAGAGAUUGAUAAAAAGUAAAAUUGAUAAAUAUGCUACUGAAAUUUAAUAAAGAUGAGUAAGAUAUAAAGAAUAAUAUUUAUUAUUGGAUCCAUUUAUUUACUUAAAUUAUAUCAUUGUUAGUUGUAAGAUGAGUCAAUAACUUUGAUACUAAUUUAAUUCUCUUUUUUUAUUACUACCAUCGGAAUUGUAUUCAUGCUAAUA